AUGCAAGUGGGCUGGUGCGUAGGUCUUCAAGACGCUGCCAACAAGGAAAUGUUGGGACAAGGGGUGGAAAUGCUACAGCGGGCGGCCAUCGAGAUACAUGAUGAAUCCAGUGUGGGACAAAGGAGGGCUCCCCUGCUGAUGGGGGACGACUGGGAGGCCCUCAAGAAGCUGCUAAUGAUGAUGAUACAAUGGAGGGAGACGAAGAUGAGAGAAACAAUGCGUGAGCUCCCCUGCAGCUCACAGACAGGCUGCUUGCUGUCCAUCUAUCAUCGGGUACUCCGGAUCGGAUCGUUUGAAAAUGGACAUCGUCAGUCUUUGUACUCCACUAGCUCUGCCUACAGCAUUUUAUUCGCUGUCCUGCAGCGUUUCCCUGGCGGCAAGGCCCUCUGGAAGACUUGGGCGCCGGCGAAAUGCAAACUUCACUCCUGGUUGGCCUUUAGACGGCGCCAUUGGAUGGCUGAUCGUCGUCUUCAGCACGGCAUGUCAUCCCAUGUGCUAUGUCCGCAGGGCGUUGUUUUUGCUCCGCGACACUAUAGUUGCCCACUAAACCUGUUGCGUUCUCUUCUGUAA
rnacentral:rRNA from 1 species